rnacentral:rRNA from 1 species
UGCCAAGCAGCCGCGGUAAUUCCAGCUCCAAUAGCGUAUAUUAAAGUUGUUGCGGUUAAAAAGCUCGUAGUUGGAUUUCUGUCAACGAGUGGCGCUCCGCCCCUUGUGGUGAGUAGUCGUCAUGCCGUUGGCAUCUUUCUGGGGAGUGUAUCUGCACUUCAUUGUGUGGUGCAUAAGCCAGGACAUUUACUUUGAGGAAAUGAGAGUGUUUCAAGCAGGCGCACGCCGUGAAUACGUUAGCAUGGAAUAAUAGCAUCGGAUCUCGCUCCAAAGCUGUUGGUUUCUUGGGUCGAGAUAAAGGUGAAUAGGGAUUGUUGGGGGCAUUCGUAUUUAACUGUCAGAGGUGAAAUUCUUGGAUUUGUUGAAGACGGACUACUGCGAAAGCAUCUGCCAAAGAUGUUCUCAUUGAUCAAGAACGAAAGUUAGGUGAUCGAAGACGAUCAGAUACCGUCCUAGUCUUAACCAUAAACUAUGCCGACUGGAGAUAGGGGGUCGUUAAAUUGGUGACGCCUUCUGCAUCUUGAGAGAAAUCAAAGUCUGUGGGUUCCGGGGGGAGUAUGGUCGCAAGGCUGAAACUUAAAGGAAUUGACGGAAGGGCACCACCAGGAGUGGAGCCUGCGGCUUAAUUUGACUCAACACGGGGAAACUUACCAGGUCCAGACAUAGUGAGGAUUGACAGACUGAUAGCUCUUUCGAGAUUCUAUGGGUGGUGGUGCAUGGGCCGUUCUUAGUUGGUGGAGUGAUUUGUCUGGUUAAUUCCGUUAACGAACGAGACCUUUAACCUGCUAAAUAGGCUCCAGAAUCUUCGGUUCCAGGAGGCCUUCUUAGAGGGACGUCGCGUGUCUAACGCUAGGAAGUGUGAGGCAAUAACAGGUC